GAUGAACGCUGGCGGCGUGCCUAAUACAUGCAAGUCGAGCGAACGGACGAGAAGCUUGCUUCUCUGAUGUUAGCGGCGGACGGGUGAGUAACACGUGGAUAACCUACCUAUAAGACUGGGAUAACUUCGGGAAACCGGAGCCAAUACCGGAUGAUAUUUUGAACCGCAUGGUUCAAAAGUGAAAGAUGGUCUUGCUGUCACUUAUAGAUGGAUCCGCGCUGCAUUAGCUAGUUGGUAAGGUAACGGCUUACCAAGGCAACGAUGCAUAGCCGACCUGAGAGGGUGAUCGGCCACACUGGAACUGAGACACGGUCCAGACUCCUACGGGAGGCAGCAGUAGGGAAUCUUCCGCAAUGGGCGAAAGCCUGACGGAGCAACGCCGCGUGAGUGAUGAAGGUCUUCGGAUCUUAAAACUCUGUUAUUAGGGAAGAACAUAUGUGUAAGUAACUGUGCACAUCUUGACGGUACCUAAUCAGAAAGCCACGGCUAACUACGUG
rnacentral:rRNA from 1 species